GACGAACGCUGGCGGCGUGCUUAACACAUGCAAGUCGAACGGAAAGGCCCUGCUUUUGUGGGGUGCUCGAGUGGCGAACGGGUGAGUAACACGUGAGUAACCUGCCCUUGACUUUGGGAUAACUUCAGGAAACUGGGGCUAAUACCGGAUAGGAGCUCCUGCUGCAUGGUGGGGGUUGGAAAGUUUCGGCGGUUGGGGAUGGACUCGCGGCUUAUCAGCUUGUUGGUGGGGUAGUGGCUUACCAAGGCUUUGACGGGUAGCCGGCCUGAGAGGGUGACCGGCCACAUUGGGACUGAGAUACGGCCCAGACUCCUACGGGAGGCAGCAGUGGGGAAUAUUGCACAAUGGGCGGAAGCCUGAUGCAGCAACGCCGCGUGCGGGAUGACGGCCUUCGGGUUGUAAACCGCUUUCGCCUGUGACGAAGCGUGAGUGACGGUAAUGGGUAAAGAAGCACCGGCUAACUACGUGCCAGCAGCCGCGGUGAUACGUAGGGUACGAGCGUUGUCCGGAUUUAUUGGGCGUAAAGGGCUCGUAGGUGGUUGAUCGCGUCGGAAGUGUAAUCUUGGGGCUUAACCCUGAGCGUGCUUUCGAUACGGGUUGACUUGAGGAAGGUAGGGGAGAAUGGAAUUCCUGGUGGAGCGGUGGAAUGCGCAGAUAUCAGGAGGAACACCAGUGGCGAAGGCGGUUCUCUGGGCCUUUCCUGACGCUGAGGAGCGAAAGCGUGGGGAGCGAACAGGCUUAGAUACCCUGGUAGUCCACGCUGUAAACGGUGGGUACUAGGUGUGGGGUCCAUUCCACGGGUUCCGCGCCGUAGCUAACGCUUUAAGUACCCCGCCUGGGGAGUACGGCCGCAAGACUAAAACUCAAAGGAAUUGACGGGGCCCCGCACAAGCGGCGGAGCAUGCGGAUUAAUUCGAUGCAACGCGAAGAACCUUACCAAGGCUUGACAUGUGCCGGAUGGCUCCGGAGACGGGGUUUCCUCUCUUUGUGGGGGGCUGGUUCACAGGUGGUGCAUGGUUGUCGUCAGCUCGUGUCGUGAGAUGUUGGGUUAAGUCCCGCAACGAGCGCAACCCUUGUCUCGUGUUGCCAGCACGUUGUGGUGGGGACUCGCGGGAGACUGCCGGGGUCAACUCGGAGGAAGGUGGGGAUGACGUCAAAUCAUCAUGCCCCUUAUGUCUUGGGCUUCACGCAUGCUACAAUGGCCGGUACAGAGGGCUGCGAUACCGUGAGGUGGAGCGAAUCCCUUAAAGCCGGUCUCAGUUCGGAUCGGUGUCUGCAACUCGACACCGUGAAGUUGGAGUCGCUAGUAAUCGCAGAUCAGCAACGCUGCGGUGAAUACGUUCUCGGGCCU
rnacentral:rRNA from 1 species